UAGGUGUACAAAUAGUAAUGCUUUAUUUAACACGGUUGAAGGUUUGAUCAUCAGUUGGGUUGGGUAGAGUUGGCUGAUCGACAGGUUUGGUUGAGUUAGAUUCGUGGAUUGAAUUGGAUGGAAUCAGAUUGAUAGGUUAGUUCGAUAAAUUGCUUUGAGUCAAGUUGGUUUUAAUGGAUCAGUAUAUUUAGCUCAAUCAAAUCUGACC
rnacentral:lncRNA from 1 species